GUGCCUUGUACCACAAGCUAUUGUAUCUGUAAUGUUUCGAAGAAAGCUUAUGGCGAUGAUUGUUUAUCGAAAACGAGUACAUUUGAGUGGUUUAAGAAGUUCCAAGAAGGGCGAGAAUCCGUUGAAGACGACCCACGCUCUGGAAAACCAUCAACGUCACCGGAUGACGCUCACAUUGAGAAAGUGAAAGAAUUGGUGCUCCAAAACCGUCGAUUGACUGUGCGAGAGAUAGCAGAUGAAGUUGGAAUAUCAUUUUGGAAUUUGGAUCGUGCCAGCACAUUUUGUCCAAUAUACCAGAUGUUCCCGCAUGUACUCGUUUAUUCUUCCAAGCAAACCUCGUUGCAUCCUCGUCAGUUCCAGGUACUUACUUCAAGGUUUUCCGAUGUGUGUGGACGAAGAGCGCGAUCUUCUUGCGAUAAACAUCGUCUAGAUUUCCUUUCGCGUCUUCCACUGCAUCGUCAGAAUUACGAAAUAGAUCUUCGAAACGAGAUCUACGAGUAAUUCGACUUUGCCGCUUGAAUAAAUCGAGCGAAUGCACGUUGAA